CAUCCUCCUUACGUCCCACCCCCCACUCCUGUUUCUGGUGAAAUAUUCAAACAGGAGUGGGGGUGGGACAUAAGGAGGAUA
ensembl:miRNA MIR4433A microRNA 4433a